AGUGAACGCUGGCGGUAGGCCUAACACAUGCAAGUCGAACGGCAGCACAGUAAGAGCUUGCUCUUACGGGUGGCGAGUGGCGGACGGGUGAGGAAUACAUCGGAAUCUACUUUUUCGUGGGGGAUAACGUAGGGAAACUUACGCUAAUACCGCAUACGACCUACGGGUGAAAGCAGGGGAUCUUCGGACCUUGCGCGAUUGAAUGAGCCGAUGUCGGAUUAGCUAGUUGGCGGGGUAAAGGCCCACCAAGGCGACGAUCCGUAGCUGGUCUGAGAGGAUGAACAGCCACACUGGAACUGAGACACGGUCCAGACUCCUACGGGAGGCAGCAGUGGGGAAUAUUGGACAAGGGGCGCAAGCCUGAUCCAGCCAUACCGCGUGGGUGAAGAAGGCCUUCGGGUUGUAAAGCCCUUUUGUUGGGAAAGAAAAGCAGCAGGUUAAUACCCCGCUGUUCUGACGGUACCCAAAGAAUAAGCACCGGCUAACUUCG
rnacentral:rRNA from 1 species